ensembl:lncRNA
CUCUGAUCCUUCAAGAGGAACUGACCCAUCCCUACCUUCAGGCUAGUGAGCCUCAGCGGUUUGACACCCAUUGACAAACUCCUGCCAUGGGUGGUUGUCUCCAUGCCUUUUGGUUUCUUCUCCUAUGUCCUGCUGUAGUUCAUGUCUCAAGCCUUCAGUGUUCCCUGGUACCUCACAUCAAGCUGCCUGUUUGAGACCCUCAUGACAUCCAGCCUGUUAUCUACUCUUCCUUCACACACAUGUAUUAAUGUGCCUUCCUUUUCGCUGAGCAUGAGACACUCUGCCACAGCCUACAGAAUGAGUGUGGAGCUGGUGGCCUCUGUGAUUCAGGGUCAGGUUGUGGCUGUAUUCUACACAGAGAAGGCUGGGGCAUGUCAGCAGUUGGACCAGAGCCAGGAGCUGCCUCACAACACCCCUUCAUCACAAAUCGUUACUACAGACCAUGGUACUACUUCCCCUCUGAGACACAUUGCAAGUGAAUGUUUCCCCGUCUCAAACCCUAGCCUAACCCAGCACUGAAGUACAUACCGCUCUCCUACUAUGUUGGUUUAGCAGCAUUUCUUUGUCUGUGGAAAUGAACUUACCUAUAAUGCCAGGGAUAUCAUAUUACACUAAUUAACUGUCCUUAGCACAACAAAGGCCAUUCGUGUGUGUGCAUGUGGGAGCAUGCAUUUCAAGGACGUGAGUUUGUCUUGUUUGUUUACCCAUAGGCCUGUGCGUUUUAUGCAUACAUGUGAAGGACUUGUGUUUGUGUAGCCUUGUUUAUCUGUGAGGUUUUGUGUAUUUUUCCCCUGUUGUAAGGUUUUCCUGACCUCAGUGCUAGUCAUGGGUGGGCUGUUCUUCCUCUGCUGCCUUGUCCUCUUCCUGGGGGUGAAAGAGCUGCGGAGUGAGUCAAUGGUCAGAACAAUGGAGUUAGGGUUAGUGUGGUCAGUUUAGAACUGCUAGAGCAAAGCACAUGGGAGGUCAAGGUUCAGUAGAACGUGUUAAAGAGUCUAGAGCUGGGAGGUGACUAAAUAAUGGAUAGGCUUGGAACUAAAGUAACUUAUGACAUGUCAGACAUUUCUUCAGUUUUCUACAAUACCAAACACCUCUCUCUGAUUUUUGUCUCCAGCUCCCCUCUAGUGUGGAUAGUGUGUGUCCUAUCUCUCCACUCUAAAGAUGCUAGUGUGCCAUGUUCCUUGCCAACGACUGGGCCUUGGCUUUCUCUUUGCUGCACUUGCCUUCUGGAUAAAUCCUUGCCUGGACUGCAUCCAAAUAGAUCAACAAAAAAUGACAAUCUUGAGUCAACUAAUGCACAUUUGUCCCUUAGAUGUCCCUUAAACGUCACACAUAGUUGUAUCACACACCCUCUUGGCCUCAAAAGGACGGUCUGAUUGGCUCAACACACAGAUGACAGAACACAAUUCUUAUCCAAUCUGGCAUAUCAUACUCUUUAUGAUUUUAUAUAUUUGUGUAGCUGGUAUUCGUCUCUGGAAGCUAACCACUUAUUCCUUAUUAAAGGGCAAAAACUAUAGCCACGAGACAUUCUCUUGUUAGGACAAACAACCAUCCCAGAUAUUAAACACUAACAGAUUGCAGCAACUACAGCUGUUUCACUGUUACAGCCAUCUCUGGUACGGGCUUGGAAAUAGAUUACAAUCUCCAUUGGUUUGUGAGCACAACAUUGUUUCUCCCUUUAUGACAAGUUUAUGCUUACAGUAAUAAUAGUUUUUUUUCUUCGUAUUUACUGCCAGUCUUCGUGGCCGUGUGUGAUGCUAGGAUUCAGCUUGGCAACCGUGUUCCUGCUGCCUUGGCGAGUCUGCAGUUAGAAGGCCACGACUCUGGCUUAGGGUUGUCUCUGCUCUCUACUGUACUCUGCUCCAGUUCUGUCUCUGCCUCUGUCACUCUGAAUGACACUCAAAACACACAAAAUGCUGACUUGAUGAUUCAUUCAUAAACCCCCAUGACAGCCUGUCAAGUGUUGAAUAUUCUAAUAUGCUGAUUUGUCACUUGGCCAGUUUACACUUCAAUCGAUUCACCAGACAGUGCUUGUUGCAUAAUCUGCGUUUGGUCUGAUUUGCGAACCAGUCUCUUAUUAUUCAUGUAGGUCCAUCUACCAAACGUGGUAGAUGACUUCACUGUGAAAAAAAACCUGCUGCAAGGACCUGGAGCAACUUUUUUUCUACUGCUACGCCUUCUGCAGUAAGCUAGGGGAGGCCUGUCUGUUGGAAUCUCAACCAUGACUAACAUUGAGUCAUACAUCCACCUACUCCUCCUCUCCAUUUCUCUCCUCCUUAUUAUGUCAAAUCUGAUUUCAUGUUUCUAUCACCAUAUCUCAAUUUAUGUUGUGUUCAUGCAUGCGUGUAUCAUUUGUUUGUAUGCUUGUUUGUACUGCAGCUUUGUGGGGUACACUAUAAAAAAGGGUUCCAAAAAGGUUCUUCAACUGUCCCCAUAGGAAAAAACAUUUUGGUUCCAGGUACAACCCUUUUUGGUUUCCAGUAGAACCCUUUUGGGGAAAGGGUUCUUCCUGGAACCCAAAGGGGUUCUACCUGGAACCAGAAAGGGUCCUUCAAAGGGUUCUCUUAGGGGGACAGCCAAAGAACCAUUUAUAGGUUAAAGAGUGUACUGUGCAGUUGCCUGUAGACAAAGUGAGGACAUGAUGACUGCUCUGAUUGUACUGUUUGCCCCUGUGCCCAUCACCCUGCUGCUGGUAGGGCUGGUCUUCUUCCACCUGUACCCCAUCAACGAGGAAUGACGCCUCCAGCUCCAGAGAGAGCAAGGCAGAGAUGUUGAAGCCAUACAUUCAACUGAUAGAGGAGAUGGGCUCAACACGCAGUCGUCAGUCAAGACGCCAACCACCUUUUUAUUUAUUUUAAUUUUAUUUAGCCUUUACUUAUCUAGGCAAGUCAGUUAAGAACAAAUUCUUAUUUACAAUGCCAGCCAAACCUGAACGACGCUGGGCCAAUUGUGGGACGCCCAAUCACGGCCGGAUGUGAUAGACUGGAUUCGCACCAGAGGCUGUAAAAUAUAUUUUGAUUUUGGUUACUACAUGAUUACAUAGGUUUUAUUUCAUAGUUUUGAUGUCUUCACUAUUAUUCUACAAUGUAGCAAAUAGUACAAAUAAAGAGAAAUCCUUGAAUGCCCUCCAUA